rnacentral:lncRNA from 1 species
UAAGAAUCAGGGUGGGGCCAAGGAAGCCAACUCAACAACUAUCUGUUUAAGGCCAAAGGCCUGAGAACCUGGCGGGGGCUGGUGGUGCAAUUCCCAGAGUUGAGGGGCCAGAAAAUCUGGAGUUCUGAUGUCCAACGACAGAAGGAAAAGGGUGUCCCAGCUUCAAUAGAGAGAGAAGUCUCCUCUGCUCUGCCUUUUUAUUCUAUCUGGGCCCUCAGUCAAUUGGAUGAUGCCUGCACACAAUAGGGUCUCACUCUCUCGCCCAGCCUACAACAGUGGCGCGAUCUCGGCUCACUACAACCUCCACAUCCCAGGCUCAAGUGAUUCUCCUGCCUCAGCUUCCUGAGUAAGUGGGAUUACAGUGCCUGUUGUUACUUCAUUCAGAAGUCUGAAAUUUGAUAUGCUUUCCUAAGAAAUAGUCCCAACUAAUGUCCUACGGAAACUAGCGAAAACUCCAUUCAUCUAAGAAAGCAGUGGAAAUAGAUAAGAAACUUACACAUUGCAAGUCAGAUAUCUGCACUGAUACCCAAGAGCAAAAUGUACAGAGCUCAGUGGGGAAGAGGGUACAGAAGAAGGAAGAUCAAUCUAUCUGGCAGAAGAGGAUGAGAAAAGCUUCCUGGAAGAUGUGACCCUUCACACAGAACAAAGGCUACACCUAUGUAUCCUCUGCAAGCUCCAAUUUUUAUAAAUUCAUCCAUUCUGUAAAUAGGCUAUAUUUCAUCUGAAGAGCCUAUAGAAUAACUUUGGCCUGUAAAUCAGUUAAGAUUCCAAAUCCAUGUGAUUCCAAAUUGAAGAAAGGACUCAGGAACCACCAAUUGGCUUAUGAUGAUAUCCUAGGUUCUACACCAUCACCCAAAGAAGCUGGUGGGAAGCAGAUGUGAGGAGGCAUAGUUAGUGAAAAAUUGUUAGGAGAAAAUGAAGAAACUUUGUAUUUCAUUCUCCUCAAAUAAAUCAAUUACCAAAAGAAAAGUCUCAGUCAAAAACUGAAGAUGGCUAAGAUUUUAGUCUACCAAGUGAUAAAGAACUGUGCAAUGAACAACACACAAGUCAUGUGUGAAAGCAAAGAGAACUCAGCCCAACCGAGACAGCAACUGAAGUUUCAUCUUCGCUGUUUACAGUUACUCUGUUUAUCAUUUUUACUCUUGUAAAAGAGCUAAUGUAUGCUGGGCUUAAUACCUAGGUGAUGGGUUGAUAGGUGCAGCAAACCACCAUGGCACACCUUUACUUAUGUAACAAAACUGCACAUCCCACACAUGUACCCUGGAACUUUAAAAAAUAAAAUAAAAUAAAAUAAAGCAUUUUCAACCCUAGAAAAAGAAUUUGCAAACUUUUUCAGUGCUACAUAAAAAAUAGGAAAUAAAACUCAGGCCCAUCCCCAGCAUGAGUGCUUCUCUUCAGUCAUCGUCUCACAGCCAACUACAGACUGAUGUGGCAAUGGGAAAAAGAGAGAAAGGGAAAAAUCUAAACCCUCAGGCUUCUCCCUUCCUACCUCUGCCCAACCCUGGAGUCCCAGGUGGCAGCCCAGUCCUGCUCCUUUCCCACACCACUCCCCAGAACCACCGCCUAGUCCCACUUGGAAGAAAAAGUGCUUAGAAGACUGAGU